rnacentral:rRNA from 1 species
CCUACGGGAGGCAGCAGUAGGGAAUAUUGCACAAUGGGGGAAACCCUGAUGCAGCAACGCCGCGUGGACGAUGAAGGUCUUCGGAUUGUAAACUCCUUUUGUUAGAGAAGAUAAUGACGGUAUCUAACGAAUAAGCACCGGCUAACUCCGUGCCAGCAGCCGCGGUAAUACGGAGGGUGCAAGCGUUACUCGGAAUCACUGGGGGUAAAGAGCGCGUAGGCGGGGUAGCAAGGCAGAUGUGAAAACCCAUGGGUUAACCAUAGAACUGCAUUUGAAACUGGUAAUCUAGAGUAUGGGAGAGGGAGGUGGAAUUCUUGGUGUAGGGGUAAAAUCCGUAGAGAGCAAGAGGAAUACUCAUUGCGAAGGCGACCUGCUAGAACAUAACUGACGCUGAUGCGCGAAAGCGUGGGGAGCAAACAGGAUUAGAUACCCCGGUAGUC